rnacentral:rRNA from 1 species
GAUUUCUGGUUCGGCGCACUUGGCCCGUCUCGGUUUACGGGAUUGCGUGCCGGUGUGCGCCAUCCAUCCUUCGAUGAGAUCAUUGCUGCUCUUUACUGGGUUGGCAGUGACUCUCUCGAUCUUUUACUUUGAAAAAAUUAGAGUGUUUCAAGCAGGCGUUUUGCUAUGAAUACAUUAGCAUGGAAUAAUGAGUUAGGACUUCGGUUCUAUUUUGUUGGUUUCUAGGACUGAAGUAAUGAUUGAUAGGGAUAGUUGGGGGUGCUAGUAUUCAGCGGCCAGAGGUGAAAUUCUUGGAUUCGCUGAAGACUAACUUAUGCGAAAGCAUU